UAGUAACCUAGGAAGUCGACACCGAUGA
rnacentral:piRNA from 1 species